rnacentral:rRNA from 1 species
UGCAUCGAUGAAGAACGCAGCGAAAUGCGAUACGUAGUGUGAAUUGCAGAAUUCCGCGAAUCAUCGAGUCUUUGAACGCAAGUUGCGCCCGAGGCUUGUCCAAGGGCAUUUCCGCUAGAGCGUCACCGCGCCCCCCACCGAUCCACUCUCGCCGCGAGGCGACAGUCGGGUCGAGUGAAAGUGGCCGUCCCGGUCGACGAGGUGGCCUUGGCCACGUUCGGAACCUGGGUCGGCUGAAAUGGAUGGAAUUGGGCCGCCGUGGUGACACAGUCCGCGAUCGGGUGAUUUUGUCGCGAGCCUCCUCCGGGAGGUUCUUGGUGAAUUUUUCUAAGUGCUUGGCUGCGUCCCCCAGUUGGCUUUGGUUACCUCAUGCAGGUCGAGCGCGCCCCCGCGGCGCGCGUCACGCAUCAGACCUCUAAUCGGAAA